rnacentral:rRNA from 1 species
GAGUUUGAUCAUUGCUCAGAGCGAACGCUGGCGGCAGGCUUAACACAUGCAAGUCGAGCGGGCGUAGCAAUACGUCAGCGGCAGACGGGUGAGUAACACGUGGGAACGUACCUUUUGGUUCGGAACAACUGAGGGGAAACUUCAGCUAAUACCGGAUAAGCCCUAACGGGGAAAGAUUUAUCGCCGAAAGAUCGGCCCGCGUCUGAUUAGCUAGUUGGUGAGGUAAUGGCUCACCAAGGCGACGAUCAGUAGCUGGUCUGAGAGGAUGAUCAGCCACACUGGGACUGAGACACGGCCCAGACUCCUACGGGAGGCAGCAGUGGGGAAUAUUGGACAAUGGGGGCAACCCUGAUCCAGCCAUGCCGCGUGAGUGAUGAAGGCCCUAGGGUUGUAAAGCUCUUUUGUGCGGGAAGAUAAUGACGGUACCGCAAGAAUAAGCCCCGACUAACUUCGUGCCAGCCGCCGCAGUAAG